GACGAACGCUGGCGGCGUGCUUAACACAUGCAAGUCGAACGGAAAGGCCCUGAUUUUGUGGGGUGCUCGAGUGGCGAACGGGUACGUAACACGUGAGUAACCUGCCCUUGACUUUGGGAUAACUUCAGGGAACUGGGGUUAAUACCGGAUAGGAUCUCCUGUUGCAUGGUGGGGGGUGGAAAGUUUCGGCGGUUGGGGAUGGACUCGCGGCUUAUCAGCUUGUUGGUGGGGUAGUGGCGUACCCAGGCUUUGACGGGUAGCCGGCCUGAGAGGGUGAACGGCCACAAUGGUACUGAGAUACGGCCCAGAGUCCUACGGGAGGCAGCAGUGGGGAAUAUUGCACAAUGGGCGGAAGCCUGAUGCAGCAACGCCGCGUGCGGGAUGACGGCCUGCGGGGUGUAAACCGCUUUCGCCUGUGACGAAGCGUGAGUGACGGUAAUGGGUAAAGAAGCACCGGCUAACUACGUG
rnacentral:rRNA from 1 species